UGAGGUUUUCCAGGCUUCUCUGGGGUGAACAUGGCCAAGCGGGGGUCACUUCAGUUGGCUGAGGACUUCGGGUCUUAUUUUUGGUUUACACUGGCCUGGGAUGGAACCGGGCAGUUCUAACGUGACCUGGGUGUGUACUGGUGGCUUCACUCACCCAGGGCAGGCAGGUGCCUGGAACCGGGACUCAGAAAGUGGCAGGAAGGUGGAGUGAGAAGAUGGGGCUAUUAGGGGCAUGGCAGGGGCAGGUCAAUCACCCCGAGGCUUCGGGAGCUUCCCGGCCUCUGGAAGGGCGGUGUGCUCGCCCUCCCCUGUGCACGGCGUUGAUAACAGUGUUAUCAGGAGCGGGAGUGUCCACUGAGCUGUGGCUUCGCCAUGCCAUACGAACACUCACAGGCAGCACUGCUGUCAGGAGGAUGGAGGCUGGGCCGGGAGGCUUGUUUUCAAGGCCGCGAGUGUCAAACCCACAAACCGCAGAGCAGAACAGACUUGGCCGAGCAGAUGAGGAGGGCCUCAUCCUCCAUCUCCCACCUCCAUCCUCUUCCCAACUGAAGUCAGAGGCCGGGACUGAGACCAGAGGUUGGCCUGAGAGUGGAGAGGAGUGAGGAAUCUAGCUGUUCUAGGGCCCUGGGCUGUUCAGAAUCCAUUGCAAACCAUUGGAAAGCAGGCUGGCUUUACUGUGGUUGUCCCUGUGGCCGUUGGCUGACGUUGCUGAAAUUCCAGGCCUCCAGAGUGUCCACACGUCCACGGCGGGGAAAGCCUGUUGCAGACCAGCCACCACACCCUGCGGCUCAGGACCAAGCUCCUAAAGCCCAGAGGCCUGCCCUGGGAGCAGUCCUCAGCCAGGACUCACUCCUGAGAAGAAUGAGAGGGGAAGCGCCUCCAGGCCAGGAUGCCAGCUAGCAGCGCCCUCCAGUAACGUCCUGGAGGAAGCAUCUCAUUCGUGCCAAACUCACUAAUUCUAAUUCGUCAUCAUGAUUCUUCACAAUGAAGAAAAGCUCCAAGCCAGUGCCUUCCUGGGGCAUGGCAGGCCUCCCUCUGGCCUGAGCGGGCAGCUGUGCCCAGACCUGGGCUCUUCCAAAGGCGCGCGACGGUCCUGCACACAGCUGGGUUGUGCUUGAGGCUUCAUUUACAGUGGAGGCGGAGGGGUUCCUGGGGUUCCCCCAUCAUCGAUCAUUUCAUCGUGGAUACUCUCAUCAUCGCUAACUUCAUCGUUGAUACUUUUUUUUUUUUUGAGAUGGAGUCUCGCUCUGUCGCCCAGGCUAGAGUGCAGUGGCUCGAUCUCAGCUCACUGCAACCUCCGCCUCCUGGGUUCAAGUGAU